UACGUAGGGGGCUAGCGUUGUCCGGAAUCAUUGGGCGUAAAGCGCGUGUAGGCGGCCCGGUAAGUCCGCUGUGAAAGUCGGGGGCUCAACCCUCGGAUGCCGGUGGAUACUGUCGGGCUAGAGUGCGGAAGAGGCGAGUGGAAUUCCUGGUGUAGCGGUGAAAUGCGCAGAUAUCGAGAGGAACACCAGUGGCGAAGGCGAGUCCCUGGACAAAACCUGACACUGAGGCACGAAAGCCGGGGGAGCAAACAGG
rnacentral:rRNA from 1 species